AAUAUAGUCCAUUCUCUAGACAGGAGAAGGAGUGGGGGGAAAGAGAUUUAUCUAUACAUAAGCACGAUGGUUUGGGCAACUGUACUGUGCAUUUCUG